rnacentral:rRNA from 1 species
UACGAAGGGGGCUAGCGUUGUUCGGAAUUACUGGGCGUAAAGCGCGCGCAGGCGGUCUUCCAAGUCAGUGGUGAAAGCCCGGAGCUCAACUCCGGAACUGCCAUUGAAACUGUAAGACUUGAGGAUGAGAGAGGUGAGUGGAAUUCCCAGUGUAGAGGUGAAAUUCGUAGAUAUUGGGAAGAACACCGGUGGCGAAGGCGGGUCUCUGGGCAGUAACUGACGCUGAGGAGCGAAAGCGUGGGGAGCGAACAGG